CUCACCGCCCGGCUUUCCUGGAUUAAGUGGGACUGACGCACUGUUGUGUGAACCAGCUGGCAGAUUCCCACUAUUGACCUGGGCAUGGGAUUCCCUUUGGCUGACAUUCCCAGGAACACCACCACUAUGAGAACUGGAAGGAAACAAGCAGAAAAUGUUAUUCAGAAAAUUCUUACAACAAACAAACUAUCCCAGAUCCAUUCCCCAUGGACAGGUAGACAUGUCAUGAAAUCCCAUAAUGUCCCUCGAACAAUGACCCUUAAAUAUAAUCUUUCUUUCCUGCUUCAUAUUUCACACCUUUACUUGAUAUUUAUUCUACUGUUAG